rnacentral:rRNA from 1 species
AUUGAACGCUGGCGGCAGGCUUAACACAUGCAAGUCGAGCGGGGUGAUGGUGCUUGCACUAUCACUUAGCGGCGGACGGGUGAGUAAUGCUUAGGAAUCUGCCUAUUAGUGGGGGACAACAUCUCGAAAGGGAUGCUAAUACCGCAUACGUCCUACGGGAGAAAGCAGGGGAUCACUUGUGACCUUGCGCUAAUAGAUGAGCCUAAGUCGGAUUAGCUAGUUGGUGGGGUAAAGGCCUACCAAGGCGACGAUCCAUAGCUGGUCUGAGAGGAUGAUCAGCCACAUUGGGACUGAGACACGGCCCAAACUCCUACGGGAGGCAGCAGUGGGGAAUAUUGGACAAUGGGCGCAAGCCUGAUCCAGCCAUGCCGCGUGAGUGAUGAAGGCCUUAGGGUUGUAAAGCACUUUUAGUUGGGAAGAAAAGCUCAAGGUUAAUACCGUUGAGUGAUGACGUUACCAACAGAAAAAGCACUGGCUAACUCUGUGCCAGCCGCCGCAGUAA